ACACUUACCUGGCAGAGGUGAUUCCAUGAUCAUGACAGUGGUUUCCCCAGGGCAAGGUUUUUCAUUGCACUCCAGAUGGAUUGACCCUUGAGAUUUCCUCAAAUAUGUGAAAUUCAAAUGCAUAAUUUGUGAUAGUGAGGGACUACAUUCCUGAUCUCCCUGU
ensembl:snRNA U1 U1 spliceosomal RNA